rnacentral:ncRNA from 1 species
AAAGUUCAAUACGGAGAAGAAAUGGCGAAUCACUCUGGCCUCGAGUCAUGCGCUGCACAUCGCGAGGUGUGUGGCGAAGCGUUGACAGGGGAAACCGGCAGGCUAGCCAUUGAGCCACGAAAUCAAGAAAUCGGGAUGCCGACGGAGUUAACUAUCUCGGAAGGCCACAUGGGGCAUGGCGUCAAAUCGCAAGUCAUGUUCUGAUCCCGCGUGGUCGGAGACCC